UACAGAGGGGGCAAGCGUUAUUCGGAAUUAUUGGGCGUAAAGGGCGCGUAGGCGGCAUCGCAAGUGGAAGGUGAAAGCCCCGGGCUCAACCUGGGAAUGGCAUUGGAAACUGGCUUGCUGGAGUGUGGCAGAGGGGGGUGGAAUUCCGCGUGUAGCAGUGAAAUGCGUAGAGAUGCGGAGGAACACCGAUGGCGAAGGCAGCCCCCUGGGCCAACACUGACGCUCAGGCACGAAAGCGUGGGGAGCAAACAGG
rnacentral:rRNA from 1 species